UAGCUCAGUUAGUAGAGUGCUUGCCUUACAUGCAGGAGGCCCUGGGUUCUAAUCCCCAG
rnacentral:tRNA from 1 species